GGUGAAAAUGAUGAAUUCUGGGUCUCUGAGUCAUGUGACCUGAAAAAGGCCAUCCAUUUCCUGAUUCACC